rnacentral:misc_RNA from 1 species
UUUCCGUAGGUGAACCUGCGGAAGGAUCAUUACUGGGUUAUCAACUCCCUCCGGGGAGUACCACCCGCCCUCUGUCAUUUGCAACGGUAUUGCUUCGGCCGCUGGUUCUGCGUGCGGGUCGCCUCGCUCUCUCACGGGAGGGUUGUGGGUGGCCGGCGCGGGGUCACGGUCGGUCUCUCAACUCCAUGAACUGAACGUGUGUGUCUGAUGCAAAAAGAAAAAAACGAAAAGCAAAACUUUCAACAACGGAUCUCUUGGUUCUGGCAUCGAUGAAGAACGCAGC